rnacentral:rRNA from 1 species
CCUACGGGAGGCAGCAGUGGGGAAUAUUGGGCAAUGGGCGCAAGCCUGACGCAGCAACGCCGCGUGAAGGAAGAAGGCUUUCGGGUUGUAAACUUCUUUUCUGAGGGACGAAGAAAGUGACGGUACAUUAGGAAUAAGCCACGGCUAACUAAGUGCCAGCAGACGCGGUAAUAUGUAGGUGGCAAGCGUUAUCCGGAUUUAUUGGGUGUAAAGGGCGUGAAGGCGGGAAAACAAGUCAGAGGUGAAAAGCCAGGGCUCAACCCUGAGCCUGCAUUGGAUACUGUUUAUCUAGAGUGCUGGAGAGGCAAUCGGAAUUCCGGGUGUAGCGGUGAAAUGCGUAGAUAUACGGAGGAACACCAGUGGCGAAGGCGGAUUGCUGGACAGUAACUGACGCUGAGGCGCGAAAGCGUGGGGAGCAAACAGGAUUAGAUACCCCAGUAGUC